rnacentral:rRNA from 1 species
GUGUCAGCCGCCGCGGUAAUACGAAGGUGGCAAGCGUUACUCGGAAUUACUAGGCGUAAAGCGCAAGCAGGCGGUUCGGUAAGUCCUUUGUGAAAGCUCCCGGCUUAACUGGGAGAGGCCAAGGGAAACUUCCGGGCUAGAGUGUGGUAGAGGAAGCUGGAAUUCCCGGUGUAGCGGUGAAAUGCGUAGAGAUCGGGAGGAAUACCUAUGGCGAAAGCAGGCUUCUGGGCCAUCACUGACGCUGAGUUGCGAAAGCUAGGGGAGCAAACAGGAUUAGAAACCCUCGUAGUCC